CAAAUACUCAGACAAAAAAAAAAAUGCAAAUUGUAAAAUACAUAUUUGUCAAGCUUUCAUUUUCUUUCCAGUGUUGGUAACAUCUGUGGAAAAAAUAUUAUACAUGCUGAUCCAGUUUUUUUCCAUUUUUGACAAAAUAUAUAAUCUAAGAAAUUAACCUUUAAUUGUCAUUCUAACUGUGUCAUGCUAACAUUUCUCUCCUUCUUCAUGGUUGUUCUGUUUCCAUAGAGCUGCAGGAGUUUAUAUAGUAGUGAAAAAUGAGACAGAUGCGGGGGAAAAAACACUCAAAAAAUGCUUGAAGUUGGUCUUGAAACACCAGAAGUUAUUAAAGCUGCAAACCGCUUGUCUUAAAGCCAAAGAUUUUCAGUUUAUUAUCCAAAACAACAAAGAAAAUUAGCAAAUAUUCAGAUCUGAGAGACUGGAAGCAGCAAAUGUUAUAGAUUUGAGCUUGAAAAAUUGAAAAUCUGCUGUUCUCAUGAAGUGAAAAUGAACCUACACUGAGUAAAAAUGCAACUGGACCAAAGGAACAGGCAGAAACUUCUUGAAAUUUAGAGAGUUUAGCAAAUAAAUCUGAUGCUACCUGAACAGUAGUGCACUUAUUUCUGUAAAAUGUAAAUUACUGGAUGCUAAUUUAAGAUAGAACAUCAGUUUUAUUUGAUAUUUAGCAGGAUAUGUUCAAUUUUCAGCUUCUAAUGUUUCCAUUAAUGCGUAACAAACUCAAAUUUUCAUCAGGUUUCAUGGCAGAAAUGUACAUGAAAUAGAAAGUUGUUUAGGAGUAGAAACUUCCAGAGUAAAGUCAGACCUCCUCUUAGUCUCUUUGUUUCUCUGGUUAAUCUACAUUUUCUACCUCCAGCUCAGAAACCUGCAUCUUCUGCCACUGAUGACUUCAGAGUCAUGUUUUUUUCGUGUUGGCAGUCAUGGUGGAAACACUUUGUCUCAUCUGGAGGGAUUUAGAGGCUACAGAAGCAGGAACAAACCACACAAAGAGCCUCUUGUUGGGUUUUUUUCUGGCUGGAAUUUGUCCAUCGGAGCUCUGUGAAAGUGAGACGGAGACAAGCCAGUACCUGUAGUUUCAGCUUACAAAGCUUCAUCUGUUCAGGGCGUCAGAUUCUGGUUUAAACGUUCAGAACGGAAAAGUCUUCAUGUGGCACAAUUUAAACAUCAGCUGUUGAGCUAAAGUGUUUCCUGCAGAGAAUAAAACUGAUGCUGCAAUUUACGAGAAGCAAUGGGUUUAGAUAUUGCGGUUAAAACUCAACAGUGUGUGGUUGUUUUUAACCAUUUAACCGCAUCUGUUGGUCAGUAAUCUGUAGUGUAGAAUGGUCUAACUGCACCUCAGUAAAAGUCUGAUAUAGAGAGGAAUAAACUUGGGUUUGUUUGUGUUUCUUUAAAGAGUUAAUGUCAUUUUGUCAUUUUGAGUAGAACACAGUUGGGGAGAGCAUUUGCAUAGAAAGUAAACUUCAAUUUUAAUUUGAAAAGCUAAAAAGAUUUACUGCAAAGGCAUUUUUUGAGUAUGAAUUGUUUGGAAUUUUCCUCAUAUGGUGUCAUGAAACACACUGCCGGUCCAAAAACAACCUCUUGGAUUUAACUAAAUAAAUAGGUAAGAUCCUUCCAUUGGAUAAUUACUGCAGUGAUGACAACAACUUCUUUAACCCUAGCUAAUGCAGGAAGGAGCUUCUCAUUUCUUCAACAACCAUGUUGGAAGACAUAUCCUGUGGUCAUGGAAAGGAUGUUAAUCUGUCUCAGAAGGGUCAAAUUAUUGGCCUGCAUGAAGCAAAGAAAACAACUAAGGAGAUGAAACUACUAAAAUCAGGUUAAGAACUGUCCAAUGUAUUAUUAAAGCCUGAAGGAUAGUGGUGAACCAUCAUCUUCCAGGAACAAACUCUAGUGUAGGUGUUGCUGGUACUGGUGUAGGAGUUGUUGGUAGUGGUGUAGGUGUUGCUGGUAGUGAUGUAGGUGUUGCUGGUAGUGGUGUAGGUGUUGCUGGUACUGGUGUAGGUGUUGCUGGUACUGGUGUAGGUGUUGCUGGUACUGGUGUAGGUGUUGCUGGUAGUGGUGUAGGUGUUGCUGGUACUAGUCUAGGUGUCGUUGAUACUAGUCUAGGUGUUGUUGAUAUGAGUGUAGGUGUUGUUGGUACUAGUCUAGGCGUUGUUGAUACUAGUCUAGGUGUUAUUGAUAUGAGUGUAGGUGUUGUUGGUAGUAGUCUAGGUGUUGUUGAUAUGAGUGUAGGUGUUGUUGGUACUAGUGUAGGUGUUGUUGGUACUGGUGUAGGUGUUGUUGGUGCUGGUGUUGUUGGUGCUGGUGUAGGUGUUGUUGGUACUGGUGUAGGUGUUGCUGGUAGUGGUGUAGGUGUUGCUGGUAGUGGUGUAGGUGUUGUUGGUAGUGGUGUAGGUGUUGCUGGUAGUGGUGUAGGUGUUGCUGGUACUAGUCUAGGUGUCGUUGAUACUAGUCUAGGUGUUGUUGAUAUGAGUGUAGGUGUUGGUACUAGUCUAGGCGUUGUUGAUACUAGUCUAGGUGUUAUUGAUAUGAGUGUAGGUGUUGUUGGUAGUAGUCUAGGUGUUGUUGAUAUGAGUGUAGGUGUUGUUGGUACUAGUCUAGGUGUUGUUGAUAUGAGUGUAGGUGUUGUUGGUACUGGUGUAGGUGUUGUUGGUACUGGUGUAGGAGUUGUUGGUAGUGGUGUACGUGUUGUUGGUAGUGGUGUAGGUGUUGUUGGUAGUGGUGUAGGUGUUGUUGGUACUAGUGUAGGUGUUGCUGGCACUGGUGUAUGUGUUGCUGGUACUGGUGUAGGUGUUGUUGGUAGUGGUGUAGGUGUUGCUGGUAGUGGUGUAGGUGUUGUUGGUUCUAGUGUAGGUGUUGUUGAUACUAGGCUAGGUAUUGUUGGUUCUAGUGUAGGUGUUGUUGAUACUAGGCUAGGUGUUGUUGGUACUAGUGUGGUGGUAGUUGUUGGUACUGGUAGGGAUAUGGUGGUUGUUGAUGGUACUGGCAGGGAUAUGGUGGUUGUUGAUGGUGGUACUGGUGUUGAUGUGGUAAUUGUUGUAGGAGGGGAUGUGGUUGUGGCUGGUACUGGCAGGGAUAUGGUGGUAGUUGUUGGUACUGAUGUGGUUGUUGGUGGUGCUGGUGUUGAUGUGGUAGUAGUUGUUGGUACUGGUAUGAUGGUUGUUGUUGCUGUAAUGUAGGUUGUGACCCCUGUUGCCACGGUAACCCCAUCUGGUUCUGCUGAAAUGGCAUUGGAGGAAUCAGACUGUUGAGCCUGCCUCCUUUUCUUUUGGUUUCCUUUUCCUCUGCCUUGCAGAUGGAGUAGACGGCGUCCUCGUCGUCACUCAGAGACAACACCUUCAGAUGGAGGGUGGAGAUGAACCUCUCAUGGCGAGACAAUGGAGGAGUGAAGGAGGACGGUAGCGACACAGACCUGAUGAAUGGAGCUCUUGGUCUCGCCUCUUUAAUCAUUUGUUCCUCAUCCUGGUUCUCCGAUGUUCCAUCCUGUCCUCUAGGUUCAUCCUCAGCAUUGUCUCCAGGUACAGGUGAGUUCCUCUCAGGUUUUUCUGCUACAACAUCCUCAGUGCUGCUGCUGCUGGAGCUAAACUCUGCGUCCGACUCCAUCUCUGGUCCAGAAGCUUCAUCAGAAGAGCUGGACUCACCGCCGUUCCUCCACCGAUACGUGGAGUCAGACUUCUGGUUGUAGCAGGCGGCACAGCGAGACAGACUGAG
ensembl:lncRNA